rnacentral:rRNA from 1 species
GAUGAACGCUGGCGGCGUGCUUAACACAUGCAAGUCGAACGGAAAGGCUCCUGCUUGCAGGGGUACUCGAGUGGCGGACGGGUGAGUAACACGUGGGUGAUCUGCCCUGCACUUCGGGAUAAGCCUGGGAAACUGGGUCUAAUACCGGAUAGGACGAUGGUUUGGAUGCCAUUGUGGAAAGUUUUUCGGUGUGGGAUGAGCUCGCGGCCUAUCAGCUUGUUGGUGGGGUAAUGGCCUACCAAGGCGUCGACGGGUAGCCGGCCUGAGAGGGUGUACGGCCACAUUGGGACUGAGAUACGGCCCAGACUCCUACGGGAGGCAGCAGUGGGGAAUAUUGCACAAUGGGCGCAAGCCUGAUGCAGCGACGCCGCGUGGGGGAUGACGGCCUUCGGGUUGUAAACUCCUUUCGCUAGGGACGAAGCGCAAGUGACGGUACCUGGAGAAGAAGCACCGGCUAACUACGUG